rnacentral:rRNA from 1 species
UUCCCUCAGGAUAGCUGGAACUUAUGAGAAAGUAGUUUUAUCAGGUAAAGCGAAUGAUUAGAGGCUUUGGGGAAGAAACUUCCUCGACCUAUUCUCAAACUUUAAAUAGGUAAGAUUUGAAGGAUACUUAGGUGAUCUUUCAAUCUCUUGAAUAUAAAGUUCUUAGUGGGCCAUUUUUGGUAAGCAGAACUGGCGAUGUGGGAUGAACCGAACGUUAAGUUAAAGUGCCAAAUAGUACGCUCAUGAGAUACCAUAAAAGGUGUUGGUUCAUUUUGACAGCAGGACGGUGGCCAUGGAAGUCGGAACCCGCUAAGGAGUGUGUAACAACUCACCUGCCGAAUGAACUAGCCCUGAAAAUGGAUGGCGCUUAAGCGUAUAACUUAUACUUAACCCUUACUUGAAUUAUUAUAGCGAGUAAGGAGUAGGAGGG